UCCUUGGUGGUCAAGUGGUUAAGACUCUGCACUCUCGAUGCAGGGGACCUGGAUUCAAUCCCUGGUCAGGGAA
rfam:Ovis aries breed Texel chromosome 14, whole genome shotgun sequence.